UCUCCUGGAAAACGGGUGGUAAUGCCGGAUGCUCCAGUUGAUCGCAUGGUCUUCUGGGAAAGCUUUCGCGGUAUGGGAUGGGGUCGCGUCCUAUCAGCUUGACGGCGGGGUAACGGCCCACCGUGGCUUCGACGGGUAGCCGGCCUGAGAGGGCGACCGGCCACAUUGGGACUGAGAUACGGCCCAGACUCCUACGGGAGGCAGCAGUGGGGAAUAUUGCACAAUGGGCGCAAGCCUGAUGCAGCGACGCCGCGUGAGGGAUGGAGGCCUUCGGGUUGUAAACCUCUUUUAUCGGGGAGCAAGCGAGAGUGAGUUUACCCGUUGAAUAAGCACCGGCUAACUACGUGCCAGCAGCCGCGGUAAUACGUAGGGUGCAAGCGUUAUCCGGAAUUAUUGGGCGUAAAGGGCUCGUAGGCGGUUCGUCGCGUCCGGUGUGAAAGUCCAUCGCUUAACGGUGGAUCCGCGCCGGGUACGGGCGGGCUUGAGUGCGGUAGGGGAGACUGGAAUUCCCGGUGUAACGGUGGAAUGUGUAGAUAUCGGAAAGAACACC
rnacentral:rRNA from 1 species